rnacentral:rRNA from 1 species
AUUGAACGCUGGCGGCAGGCCUAACACAUGCAAGUCGAACGAGCUCUUCGGAGCUAGUGGCGGACGGGUGAGUAACACGUGGGAACGUGCCCUUUGGUACGGAAUAACUCAGGGAAACUUGAGCUAAUACCGUAUGUGCCCUUCGGGGGAAAGAUUUAUCGCCAUUGGAGCGGCCCGCGUCUGAUUAGCUAGUUGGUGAGGUAAAGGCUCACCAAGGCUACGAUCAGUAGCUGGUCUGAGAGGAUGAUCAGCCACAUUGGGACUGAGACACGGCCAAAACUCCUACGGGAGGCAGCAGUGGGGAAUCUUGCGCAAUGGGCGAAAGCCUGACGCAGCCAUGCCGCGUGAAUGAUGAAGGUCUUAGGAUUGUAAAAUUCUUUCACCGGGGACGAUAAUGACGGUACCCGGAGAAGAAGCCCCGGCUAACUUCGUGCCAGCCGCCGCAGUAACAC